CAACUAUCCACAAAAGACCAAAAUGACACAGACAUUAACAACUAUAGGUCACCGUACGGCCUUCAACAAUGAGCAAAGCCCAUACCGCAUGGUCAGCUAUAAAAGGUCCCGAUAAGACAAUGUAAAACAAUUCAAACGAGAAAACUAACGGCCUUAUUUAUGUAAAGAAAUGAACGAAAAACAAAUAUGUAACACAUAAACAAACGACAACCAC
rnacentral:lncRNA from 1 species